rnacentral:lncRNA from 1 species
CAGUGGUAUGAAGACAGCUGUGCCCAGAGCAUUUAUUCUAUAGAACAAUAUCAGGCGAUGGCCUCAUAUUCACAUGAGAAUACAUCUUCAGGAAGCAACAAGAUUGAGAAACCAAACUUUGAUCUAUAUCCUUUGAUUAUGGGAAAAAUACGAGUGUAAUUCACUCUUUAGAAGCCAUGUAAUUUUUGGAGACUUCAAUUGAAAAAGUACAGCUAAGGUGUGCUGUGUCUGUAAGGCAAGUAAGCACAUUCUCAAUGAAGAGGGUGUUGUGAAAUUCCUUCCAGAGAAAUCUGGCAUUCAUUCUACAUUAACCUGGAGGCUGAGGAACCCUGAAAUUGUUCCAGUUAGUUCUUACUCUGCCAGGGACAAAAAUCUUCCCCAGACGUCCCUCUGCCUUACAUCUCUUUGGCAGAAGGGGUCUCAUGGCCUUUCUGAGCUACAAGGAUGGCUGGAAAAAGCAAGUCUCUCUCCUUUUAGUUCCUCUCUAAAAAAGGCAGUUUUUCAGCAUCUACAUUAGGAGACAUCACUGCCUACCAGUAGCCUCCCCACUCUUGGGAAUGGACUCUGGCAAAUUUACCACUGUAGCAGUCGACACUUCCCAUCUAGCAUGGAAGAAUGGGGUUCCAACCUUUGUUGCACUAUUUUUGAAAGACAGUCAGUAUAGGAGUGGCUGGACCAAGUCUAUUUAAAUUGCUUUGAAAUUAACCCAGUAAAGCACCACAAAACACUGCAAGCUAAAGAAGAGAGUGGGAAAAGUUGCACUGGCAUCAAUCUGUUUCUCACAACUGCCUUGUGAAGGAGGCAGGUAGCCAUCAACCAUCCUACUGAUUUUAUAAAUGAGGAUGCACAGUUAAAGGGGCAGCAGUUUGAAUUCAAGGAACCAAGUGUGAAGAGUUUCAUUUCUAGGCUCUGAAUGACCAAGGGUGUCUGGACUGUAAGUUUUCUGCUCAAAACAUGUUUGCUAUAGGUCCUCCGACAGCUGGAAUUCAUCUGAAGUACGUAGAUCUCUCUUUUUAAGAUAUUGGGUCUCUGAUGUCCAUGCUUUACAUCAAAAUUUGUAAUUUUUUUGCUGUAAAUAGUUGGAGAAUGGCAUAGGAUGACCUUUUGUUAGGCAAUGUAAAAUAUGUAUAUAUAUACACACACACAUGCACACACACAAUAAACUUUGUGAGCUAAUUCUAGAAUAGUCUUCCAUUAAUAGUAAAGUAGGAAACAUGGACUUACAUGUUAUCCUGGACAUUACUCUUUGUUUUUAUUGUAUUCAUAAACUAUUGAAGGAGGAGAAGCUCUCCUUGGAGGACAAGUGUGAUGGAGUUUGACUGUCCUUUAGUUCUAUCUUAAUCACCAAAAUGACAGGACCUCACACCUGUCUUCCUUCUAGUGAUGUCAGGUGGUUGCAACAAAGCAUGGAGGCAACCAGCACAUUAUUCCAAAAGUAUCUCCUUGAUCUGAAAAUGAAGAGAACAACUUGAUGUGAAUAAAACCCAAAGCAUUUUGGGAAAUGUUAGUCUUUCCUGAUCCCCUUUCUCUCCUUGGGAUAGAUUUAGUUGAAAGCGACGGAAUUUUGAUACUGCUUAAACACAUGAGAAGUUUCCUUUUUCUUGCUAAAACUGGACAUGGCCAUUUCGGGGGCAAAUAUAGCUGCUCUAGGGCCAGGCUCAUUUCACCUUUAUGCUUUGGUGUCCUUUGUGCAUAAUGGCUGAGCAUCUAAGUAUGUCAGCAUUCCAGAAACAAAGAAGGAAGAAGAAGGAGGAAGAAGUGGCUAUAUGAGAAUUUGGAACAUUUCCAGAAACCCCAGUAAACGUACAUCUUGUUGUCCUGAACCAAGUCCCACAGUGAUCAUUUGCUGCAGUAGAGUCUGACAACUGCUUUUUUCCCCCUCUGGACACAUUUCCUUUCCUGCAGGAGCUGAGAUUCUCUCGAUGAGGAUGGAAUAGGGAAGCGAUAUUGCCCAGGCAAUGCACCAUGGAGACCAGACCUAUCAGAGUCCAGCAGAGGAUGGUGCCCGGGCUUGGUGUGUUGGUCAUUGCUCACUACAAAUGCAAGUCAAAAUGAUAAAUGUCAAACACAAACUACCAUUUUCUUUUCUUUUUUGAGUAAAGCAAUAGCAGCCUUCCUAGUCAUGUUUACUCUUGCACCGAAUGGACGUUUGUUUUCUUGUGUUAUGUGUGUCGUUUUACAAUUGUUACCAAUUUUGGUGAAGAAGUGAAGGUUCAUUUGAUGAGAAGGGGACUUUUGGAGGGGCCAGUUCAUUCAGUUUUCAGAGGGGUCUGAUCUUCAUCUGGUGCACAGGUCCUGGGUGCCUGGCCUCCCCUUGGGAACCACGGUCUCUUAACCCUGCCUCAAGCUGCAGAGGAUUUAAGGUAAAGGCUGGGGAGCAGCUUCUGUGUCACAAGGUGGCCCAUUUAGUGCUGUGCCUGAUCUGGCUGUCUGGCUGGUUCUGUGGGGAUGCUCCUGAUGGUGUCCCAGCCAAUAGGUCACCAGUACAUUUAAACAGAGCCAGGGUAGUGUGGCAUGUACAGCCUGACAGCAUCUUGAGUGGAGGUCUUUUCCAAGGGACUUAAAAAUGGGAUAGGCAUUCUAAGCUGGUGGACUCAUGGGGUUAGCCUUUCACAACCAUGAUACUUAGUUGAACAUUUUUUUUCCUAACUUCUUCUCCUCCUCCAUUAUUUCCUUUCAUCUUUUUCUCCAUUUAGGUUUUGUCCUAGAAGCCUUUUUAGAAGAAUCUAGAAGUCACUUUUCUAACUUCCUACCUACAGGCAUCUUGGAGGACCUCACCUGGUUCUUUGUGCAAACAUCUCCAGACAGACAUGCGUCGUCUCCAAGUCAGCCAGUUCUGAAGAGUGUGUCAGAAGGGUGUUGCUCAUAUUAAGCAGAUACCUCCUGUUAGAUUUCAGAAUAUUGUACUAACAGUGAAACUCCAAAACCCAACUGAGUAAGAUUUUGACAAAAAGGAUGAUUGCACUAACUGGGUAUUACACUGCUAGGCCUUCCCUUUUGCAUGAGGAUUUGUUGAUUCAGAAGUGAGUGAUAAUAAGCCUCUGUUAGAAAAUUUGGAGGGAAAGUAUCUAUGAAGCUCAGCAAUAAUUCUGAAAAAUGCUAUGCAGUGUUAAAAAGAAACUAACAGUGUUAUCUGCCAUUGUGACUGGCAACUUCAUUGUGGGUUUUUUUGGUUUGUUUUGUUAUUUGUCUUUUUAUGCACCUGAGGCAUAUGGAAGUUCCCAGGCUAAGGGUCGAAUUGGAGCUUCAGCUACUGGCCUACGCCACAGCCACAGCAGCACAGGAUCCAAGCCAUGUCUGUGAGCUACACCACAGCUUGUGGCAAUGCUGGAUCCUUAACCCAAUGAGCCAGGCCAGGAAUUGAACCCAUGUCCUCAUGGAUACUAGUUGGGUUCAUUACCACUGAGCCAUCAUGGAAACUCCAUGACUGGCAACUUUAAAAUUAAAACAUUGAGGAUAAUUCCUUGCAAGGAUCUCUCUCCAUCUUCAGCAAGAUUGUAAAACAGGGUUAACUUCCUUCUUUUCUCCCUACCCUUCUCCUUCCCUCCUUCCUUUUCUUCCUUUCCUUCAUGCUUUCUUUCCAAAGCUUAUAACUAUGAGCAUUUUAAGGAAAAGAAGGUAAUCCCUUUUAUUUGACCUCAUGAGAAAAGGUGUCAGGAGUCAGUAUUUGAGUGUUUGGUCAGGUGAGAUGGGAGAUAUUGAAUAGAAACAGAUGGACCAAUGCCAUGAUUUUUACUGGGUCUCCUGGAGUGACUCGGUCAUGGUUAUUCAGGUUACUGUUUCACAGAGUAAAUAGAUAUGCAGCCCACAGGCAGCCAUCACUGAUACUUCCUUAUCCUUUACUUUGGGAGGGCAAAGCAUUUGCGAAUGCUGAUGAAUACUCAGCUAUUUUCAACGAGUUUGCCCAGGAUGCAGAUGACCUUCCCAAGUAAGAUGCCCCCAAGGAGGCACCUUGGAUUAUGUGACAUGGGGGGCAAGCAGCCUGCGGUUUUAUCCCUGUCUCUCUUAAAAUCAGACUACAUUAAAGAAGAGACUGGCGAUAUGAGGGAAACAAGUAGAGGUGCCAUAUUUGUUUUUGAAAAGUUGUCACACCUGAUUUUAACUAAGCUUGUAGAUGUUGGCAGUUGAAGACUAUCAAAAGGUCAAAGGCCUCCCAUAGAGUUCAUCAGAGUCUAUAUCCAGAGUUUCCUGCAGUGAGGGAGUCAGCUACUAUGGGAUGACUCCUGCUAAAGACGCAAAGGGAUUUGAAAGGGCAGAGUUUUAUGAAGUCAAAGGAAGAAAUCUCAGUCUUUGGUCAGUGUCCUAUUUGGGAGAGAUUUCCCCUUAGGGUGGGACUGGGGAAGUGGACUGGAGGUUGUGGGAGGGGGUAGUAGUGGGUGAGGAGUUUUCUGAUUGACUUUUAAAUUCAUUCAGCUGUCUGAUUGGCUCACUUCUCAGGCUGGGUUUUUUCUGUUCCAAGUGAAAGAAUAUCUGGUUCUCUGCUUUGGGUUCCAAGUCUAGCCUAAGCCAUUGCUGCAGGAUUGUUGCACUGAACUGAAAGCUCCUUGUUCAGCAUAUACCAGUGCCAGGUAUGUAGUAAAGGGCCCAUAAGUAUCUGUAGAAUAAUGAAACAUUUUAUAAGAGGGAUUUUUCUCCCAAUGUUGUAUUCUAAAAACUUUCAAAUCCAAAAAUUGAAAGAAUUAUACAGUAAACAUUCAUAUAACCACCACUUAUAUUCUAUAAUUAAAAUAUUAGUAUAUUUGCUUCAUGAAGUAUCUAUCCAUAUAUUCACUCCACAAGAGGAAUUUUCAUAUGAUGCACUGGAUUAAGCUAAUAAGAAAACAAAUAGUUUAUAGCCUUACAUAAUUACAUGAGGAGAGAUCCUAGCCCAAGAGAAUAAUGAGCAAUAGUUCUAGAAACAUCUUAAUUGCCCCUGCAACCCACUGUUGUUUGCCAAAUAUGGGAAGGGCUCAGGUCCUAUAUAAGGCUUUUAGUAUCUUCGGACUUUAGGCAGUUAUGGUGCCAAAGGUUCAUUUGUUGAUAAUAUUACUGAGCCAUGAUUUGCCCAUGCUUAAAAAUGAUUACUAUUAAACUUGUAGGGAGAAAUGCCAAUUUAAAAAACCAUAUUAGGGAUUUUAAGCUUCAUGGAGCUACUACAAUCAGUGUUUGUCAUAUGAUUUUUUUUUGAAGAGUCCAUGGAAGUCAACUUAAUUCACAAAUGGAAGUUGAUUCUGUAGACUAGAUGAGCCAGGUGAAAGCUGAAUAUGCCUGCUGCAUCAAAGACUAUUAGGAGGCUGGUUCUCAAAAUAUGUUUGCUUGUUUUUUUUUGUUUUUUUUUUUCUGUUCUAUAUUCUUUCUUGAGAGUCAAUGUAUUUCUGCACUAUUACUCUCAAUCUGUGCACUAUGGAAAGUCUAGCCUCUGGCCUCUGGCCAGGGAGGGGAGGACUUGUGACCAUGGGAGUCGGUGAAGCCUUCAACCAUAGAGCCAACACCUUGAGUUUGGGUGCAGCCUCUGUCCUUCAUAGUUGAGGCAAGUUAAUUACCUGCCCUGAGUCUCAAUUUCUGGAUCAUGGAAUUAAUUUAAUCCACAAGGAAAUUACCUCCCAAGGUUUUUUUUUGUUGUUGUUGUUGUUGUUUUGUCUUUUUGCCAUUUCUUGGGCUGUUCCUUGCGGCAUAUGGAGGUUCCCAAGCUAGGGGUCUAAGGAGCUGUAGUCGCCAGCCUACAUCACAGCCACAGGAACAGGGGAUCCGAGCCGCGUCUGCGGCCUAUACCACAGCUCACAGCAACGCUGGAUCCUUAACCCACUGAGCAAGGGCAGGGAUUGAACCCGAAACCUCAUGGUUCCUAGUCGGAUUUGUUAAACCACUGCGCCACGACGGGAACUCCUCUCCCAAGGUUUUGAUAAAGAUGAAAUGAAAUGCUGUGUGUCAGAUGCCUGGCUCAUAGUGACAACCAGAAAACGCUAGUUGUCAUCAGUUAAAAUGUGGUAAAAAUCAUAUACUUAGGAGGAAAAUUAAAAUAUACAUAUAUUGGAAUUCCUGUUAUGGCUUUGCAGGUUAAGAACUCGAUUAGUAUCCAUGAGGAUGUGGGUACAGGUACGAUCCCUGGCCUUGCUCAGUGGAUUAAGGAUCCGACAUUGCUUCAAGCUGCAGCGUAGGUCACAGAUAUGGCUCGGAUCUGGUGUUGCUGUGUUUGUGGUGUAGGCCAGCAGCUGUAGCUCUGAUCCGACCCCUAGCCCUGGAACUCUCAUAUGACGCAUAUGACACAGGUACAGCCCUAAAAAGACCAAAAAAAAAAAAAAAAAAAAAAAAAA